rnacentral:rRNA from 1 species
UUUGUUUUUUAAUUAAAAACUAGAAUGAAAGGUUAUACAUUCAAAUUUCUUUAUUAAUUUUUAAUAAAUAAUUUAUAUUAAAUAUAAAAAUAUAUUUAUAAAAAAAAAAGACGACAAGACCCUAUUAAAUUUUACUUAUAGUUUAGCUGGGGAAGCUUUUCAAUUAAAAUUUUUUAAAUUAAAUAAAUAAAAAUCUAAUAAAAUUAAAAUUUUAAUAAAUUACUAUAGGGAUAACAGCAUUAUAUUUUUUAAAAGUUCAUAUUAAAAAAAAUGAUUGUGACCUCGAUGUUGAAUUAUAUUUUCUAUAUUAAAUGCAAUAAUUAUAAAAGUAGAUCUGUUCGAUCUUUAAAAUAUUACAUGAUUUGAGUUCAAACCGGUGUAAACCAGGUUGGUUUCUAUCUUUUUAUAUAUUUUUCCAGUACGAAAGGACAAAAAAAUUUUUAUUUUAAUAAAUUAGCAAAUAAAUGCAUUAGAUUUAGAAUCUAAAUAUAUUUAAUA